ensembl:snRNA U6 U6 spliceosomal RNA
GUGCUCUCUUCAGCAGCACAUAUAUUAAAAUUGGAACGAUACAGUGAAGAUUAGUAUGGCCCUUGCACAAGGGAGACUCACAAAUUUGUGAAGCUCUCCAUAUUUUU